rnacentral:rRNA from 1 species
GGGUUGUGAGGUUAAGCGACUAAGCGUACACGGUGGAUGCCCUGGCAGUCAGAGGCGAUGAAGGACGUGCUAAUCUGCGAUAAGCGUCGGUAAGGUGAUAUGAACCGUUAUAACCGGCGAUUUCCGAAUGGGGAAACCCAGUGUGUUUCGACACACUAUCAUUAACUGAAUCCAUAGGUUAAUGAGGCGAACCGGGGGAACUGAAACAUCUAAGUACCCCGAGGAAAAGAAAUCAACCGAGAUUCCCCCAGUAGCGGCGAGCGAACGGGGAGCAGCCCAGAGCCUGAAUCAGUAUGUGUGUUAGUGGAAGCGUCUGGAAAGGCGCGCGAUACAGGGUGACAGCCCCGUACACAAAAAUGCACAUGCUGUGAGCUCGAUGAGUAGGGCGGGACACGUGGUAUCCUGUCUGAAUAUGGGGGGACCAUCCUCCAAGGCUAAAUACUCCUGACUGACCGAUAGUGAACCAGUACCGUGAGGGAAAGGCGAAAAGAACCCCGGCGAGGGGAGUGAAAAAGAACCUGAAACCGUGUACGUACAAGCAGUGGGAGCACGCUUAGGCGUGUGACUGCGUACCUUUUGUAUAAUGGGUCAGCGACUUAUAUUCUGUAGCAAGGUUAACCGAAUAGGGGAGCCGAAGGGAAACCGAGUCUUAACUGGGCGUUAAGUUGCAGGGUAUAGACCCGAAACCCGGUGAUCUAGCCAUGGGCAGGUUGAAGGUUGGGUAACACUAACUGGAGGACCGAACCGACUAAUGUUGAAAAAUUAGCGGAUGACUUGUGGCUGGGGGUGAAAGGCCAAUCAAACCGGGAGAUAGCUGGUUCUCCCCGAAAGCUAUUUAGGUAGCGCCUCGUGAAUUCAUCUCCGGGGGUAGAGCACUGUUUCGGCAAGGGGGUCAUCCCGACUUACCAACCCGAUGCAAACUGCGAAUACCGGAGAAUGUUAUCACGGGAGACACACGGCGGGUGCUAACGUCCGUCGUGAAGAGGGAAACAACCCAGACCGCCAGCUAAGGUCCCAAAGUCAUGGUUAAGUGGGAAACGAUGUGGGAAGGCCCAGACAGCCAGGAUGUUGGCUUAGAAGCAGCCAUCAUUUAAAGAAAGCGUAAUAGCUCACUGGUCGAGUCGGCCUGCGCGGAAGAUGUAACGGGGCUAAACCAUGCACCGAAGCUGCGGCAGCGACACUAUGUGUUGUUGGGUAGGGGAGCGUUCUGUAAGCCUGUGAAGGUGUGCUGUGAGGCAUGCUGGAGGUAUCAGAAGUGCGAAUGCUGACAUAAGUAACGAUAAAGCGGGUGAAAAGCCCGCUCGCCGGAAGACCAAGGGUUCCUGUCCAACGUUAAUCGGGGCAGGGUGAGUCGACCCCUAAGGCGAGGCCGAAAGGCGUAGUCGAUGGGAAACAGGUUAAUAUUCCUGUACUUGGUGUUACUGCGAAGGGGGGACGGAGAAGGCUAUGUUGGCCGGGCGACGGUUGUCCCGGUUUAAGCGUGUAGGCUGGUUUUCCAGGCAAAUCCGGAAAAUCAAGGCUGAGGCGUGAUGACGAGGCACUACGGUGCUGAAGCAACAAAUGCCCUGCUUCCAGGAAAAGCCUCUAAGCAUCAGGUAACAUCAAAUCGUACCCCAAACCGACACAGGUGGUCAGGUAGAGAAUACCAAGGCGCUUGAGAGAACUCGGGUGAAGGAACUAGGCAAAAUGGUGCCGUAACUUCGGGAGAAGGCACGCUGAUAUGUAGGUGAAGUCCCUUGCGGAUGGAGCUGAAAUCAGUCGAAGAUACCAGCUGGCUGCAACUGUUUAUUAAAAACACAGCACUGUGCAAACACGAAAGUGGACGUAUACGGUGUGACGCCUGCCCGGUGCCGGAAGGUUAAUUGAUGGGGUCAGCGCAAGCGAAGCUCUUGAUCGAAGCCCCGGUAAACGGCGGCCGUAACUAUAACGGUCCUAAGGUAGCGAAAUUCCUUGUCGGGUAAGUUCCGACCUGCACGAAUGGCGUAAUGAUGGCCAGGCUGUCUCCACCCGAGACUCAGUGAAAUUGAACUCGCUGUGAAGAUGCAGUGUACCCGCGGCAAGACGGAAAGACCCCGUGAACCUUUACUAUAGCUUGACACUGAACAUUGAGCCUUGAUGUGUAGGAUAGGUGGGAGGCUUUGAAGUGUGGACGCCAGUCUGCAUGGAGCCGACCUUGAAAUACCACCCUUUAAUGUUUGAUGUUCUAACGUUGACCCGUAAUCCGGGUUGCGGACAGUGUCUGGUGGGUAGUUUGACUGGGGCGGUCUCCUCCUAAAGAGUAACGGAGGAGCACGAAGGUUGGCUAAUCCUGGUCGGACAUCAGGAGGUUAGUGCAAUGGCAUAAGCCAGCUUGACUGCGAGCGUGACGGCGCGAGCAGGUGCGAAAGCAGGUCAUAGUGAUCCGGUGGUUCUGAAUGGAAGGGCCAUCGCUCAACGGAUAAAAGGUACUCCGGGGAUAACAGGCUGAUACCGCCCAAGAGUUCAUAUCGACGGCGGUGUUUGGCACCUCGAUGUCGGCUCAUCACAUCCUGGGGCUGAAGUAGGUCCCAAGGGUAUGGCUGUUCGCCAUUUAAAGUGGUACGCGAGCUGGGUUUAGAACGUCGUGAGACAGUUCGGUCCCUAUCUGCCGUGGGCGCUGGAGAACUGAGGGGGGCUGCUCCUAGUACGAGAGGACCGGAGUGGACGCAUCACUGGUGUUCGGGUUGUCAUGCCAAUGGCACUGCCCGGUAGCUAAAUGCGGAAGAGAUAAGUGCUGAAAGCAUCUAAGCACGAAACUUGCCCCGAGAUGAGUUCUCCCUGACCCUUUAAGGGUCCUGAAGGAACGUUGAAGACGACGACGUUGAUAGGCCGGGUGUGUAAGCGCAGCGAUGCGUUGAGCUAACCGGUACUAAUGAACCGUGAGGCUUAACCUUACAACGCCGAAGCUGUU